GAUGAACGCUGGCGGCGUGCCUAAUACAUGCAAGUCGAGCGAACAGACGAGGAGCUUGCUCCUCUGACGUUAGCGGCGGACGGGUGAGUAACACGUGGAUAACCUACCUAUAAGACUGGGAUAACUUCGGGAAACCGGAGCUAAUACCGGAUAAUAUAUUGAACCGCAUGGUUCAAUAGUGAAAGACGGUUUUGCUGUCACUUAUAGAUGGAUCCGCGCCGCAUUAGCUAGUUGGUAAGGUAACGGCUUACCAAGGCAACGAUGCGUAGCCGACCUGAGAGGGUGAUCGGCCACACUGGAACUGAGACACGGUCCAGACUCCGACGGGAGGCAGCAGUAGGGAAUCUUCCGCAAUGGGCGAGAGCUUGACGGAGCAACGCCGCGUGAGUGAUGAAGGUCUUCGGAUCGUAAAACUCUGUUAUUAGGGAAGAACAAAUGUGUAAGUAACUGUGCACGUCUUGACGGUACCUAAUCAGAAAGCCACGGCUAACUACGUG
rnacentral:rRNA from 1 species